UGGGGAAUAUUGCACAAUGGGCGCAAGCCUGAUGCAGCCAUGCCGCGUGUAUGAAGAAGGCCUUCGGGUUAUAAAGUACUUUCAGCGGGGAGGAAGGUGUUGAGGCUAAUAACCUCAGCAAUUGACGUUACCCGCAGAAGAAGCACCGGCUAACUCCGUGCCAGCAGCCGCGGUAAUACGGAGGGUGCAAGCGUUAAUCGGAAUUACUGGGCGUAAAGCGCACGCAGGCGGUCUGUCAAGUCGGAUGUGAAAUCCCCGGGCUCAACCUGGGAACUGCAUUCGAAACUGGCAGGCUAGAGUCUUGUAGAGGGGGGUAGAAUUCCAGGUGUAGCGGUGAAAUGCGUAGAGAUCUGGAGGAAUACCGGUGGCGAAGGCGGCCCCCUGGACAAAGACUGACGCUCAGGUGCGAAAGCGUGGGGAGCAAACA
rnacentral:rRNA from 1 species